CCGAUAUCAUAAUCAUAUUAGAAUUAGGAACUAUUUUGUUAGAGGUCGGACAAGCAAUUUCGCUUGAGUGACCAGAUGCAUGUAAUCUACAUUCUGCUAUUCAUCGAAAUGCAAUAACGUGAAACAGGUGCAUGAAAUAGUUCGUUACUAUGCAUUUGUCAAAGAAGUACGCAGUUGAAUUUGAACAUGUAGGACGCGCAGUACGAUAAUUGAAUAUUGGUGCGAUUGUCUCGAGUCAACUGAAAGUCAAGUCCCUGAAAGUAUCCGUUAUCGUUACGACAUACGUCUCUUCGAGAAUUGGGCGCCGAGAAAUCCGCCGCACUGCGGUACAUCGGAGAAGGGAGGUGUUGAAACAGGUGGAUCCAACUCACUUGACUCACUUCAAGAGACAUGUGCGACAAAGCUGCUGAAACCAAGCAAGGCCUCUGCACAAAUUUGUACCUCAACCGUCCCGGCAAAGAGGCUACUUGAGGGAUUGACAACUUUAGUUUGCGGGUGAUGCUAUGAUUGCGGACCUGACCGAGAAGAUUAGUGAUCAUGGCUGUCCAAAUUGUGAUGAAAAGUUAUCAAAAGGUAAGUAAGUGAAAUAAAUUAGUUUGAAA